GAUAGUAAAGGUGUAUAAUCUUUUUGUCUAAGCUAUUGUUUUUGGUGAAGCAAUGUACAUGUAUAAUCUAUGAAGUUGCUAUUUUGUCUUUGUGUAUGUUUGUGGUCAAGGGUCUAUGGGGGAGGGUGCACUGGCAGGGAUGCCAUUGCAUCUUGCAGGAACUCGUAAGAUCUUGGAGUUCACUCUUUCAGUUCCUUAAGGUCUCUCUGAUGUAUAGAAAUUAGAAUAUAGAUCUUAAUUCAGGUAGAUUUCUGAAGAAGUUGGUCAAAGACCUCUUACUGUCUUGGUUGGCCUGAAGCAUCUCGGUUAAAUAUAUAAAAUAAUUCUUUAUUAUGAUCACAUGCGUUAGUGUGAAGUAUAGAAAUCGUUACUACCUACUUCCCUUCUUAUCUUUAAUGUGUUGGCAGCCUGCCUGCUUACUACAAAGGCAACAACUAACUUUUAAACAAUGAGAGGGAUUUCUUUGUUUCUAAAUUGUCUUGUAAAUGUUACAUAAAUAGUUAAAAAAACAAGAGUUCGUGCUAUUGUUUAUCAAACAAUCUUGACCCCAUAACUGGGUUGGUUUCUAUUUUGUUAUGCAUAUAUACAAAGUCAUAUGCCUACUUAAACGUCUAUCUUAUACUCGGCCCUGUAUUUAGAUUUUUUGAGUUUGUUUGUCAAUAAACUAGCUGGUAAUUACUUGAAUUCUGUUUAUUCUCAUUGGUUAUUACUUUGGUCUUACUUGACACUUAGUUUUUCCAGCAGAUAUGCAGUUCUCUUUGUUACUGUUUUCAGGGUACGUGGCGGGUUUCCCUUUUUAGCCCUGUGAUGCACAACCUAUGGAUAUGGAGGGGGAAUAGCAAUGUCAACUUCUACUUUGUAACUACAAUGGCUUUGCUUGCUUCCAGAUUGUUCUGGUGGUCAAAAGCGUAAGCGCCAUUCUUAAUCAUGAUAGAAAGAUGAGAAAGCUAUGUAAUACCACAUGUUAACAUGGCAGAUAAUGUUGAAGGAGUUUUGCAGCUUAUUUCAGCAACCGCUUUGUCAUUUUAGCCUUUGUGAUGCGGAAUUAUCUGCUGGUAACACUAUGUGGCAGGGUCUUGUAAGGGUUGACCUACACGAAAUCUUACACGGAAUCUUGACAUUGUAAAUAUACAUUCCGGCAGGCAUCUAUUCACUAUUUUACGACAUUGUACUCACAUUUAGACCACUGUACUCACAUUCCCAAAACAAUCCAUUGUAUAACAAUGUACAACAAUACCCUAGUUAACUAUU